rnacentral:rRNA from 1 species
UACAGAGGGUGCGAGCGUUGUUCGGAAUUAUUGGGCGUAAAGGGCGCGUAGGCGGUGCGGCAAGUCACCUGUGAAACCUCUGGGCUUAACCCAGAGCCUGCAUUCAAUACUGACAGGCUAGAGUUCUGGAGGGGAUAGCGGAAUUCCUGGUGUAGCGGUGAAAUGCGUAGAUAUCAGGAGGAACACCGGUGGCGAAGGCGGCUAUCUGGGCAGAAACUGACGCUGAGGCGCGAAAGCUAGGGGAGCAAACAGG